rnacentral:rRNA from 1 species
GAGUCCUACGGGAGGCAGCAGUAGGGAAUCUUCCACAAUGGGCGAAAGCCUGAUGGAGCAACGCCGCGUGGGUGAAGAAGGUCUUCGGAUCGUAAACCCUGUUGUUAGAGAAGAAAGUGCGUGAGAGUAACUGUUCACGUUUCGACGGUAUCUAACCAGAAAGCCACGGCUAGCUACGUGCCAGCAGCCGCGGUAAUACGUAGGUGGCAAGCGUUAUCCGGAUUUAUUGGGCGUAAAGGGAACGCAGGCGGUCUUUUAAGUGUGAUGUGAAAGCCUUGGGCUUAACCGGAGGAGGGCAUUGGAAA